GCUGAUGAAGUGAUGAGCUCUUCAUGUCUCUUCUCUGACUCACUUCACUGGAGAAGACUUUUCACAACUCUGAUCUCAGC